rnacentral:rRNA from 1 species
GAUGAACGCUGGCGGCGUGCCUAAUACAUGCAAGUCGAGCGGAUGGAUUGAGAGCUUGCUCUUAUGAAGUUAGCGGCGGACGGGUGAGUAACACGUGAGUAACCUGCCCAUAAAACUGGGAUAACUCCGGGAAACCGGGGCUAAUACCGGAUAACAUUUUGAACCGCAUGGUUCGAAAUUGAAAGGCGGCUUCGGCUGUCACUUAUGGAUGGACCCGCGUCGCAUUAGCUAGUUGGUGAGGUAACGGCUCACCAAGGCAACGAUGCGUAGCCGACCUGAGAGGGUGAUCGGCCACACUGGGACUGAGACACGGCCCAGACUCCUACGGGAGGCAGCAGUAGGGAAUCUUCCGCAAUGGACGAAAGUCUGACGGAGCAACGCCGCGUGAGUGAUGAAGGCUUUCGGGUCGUAAAACUCUGUUGUUAGGGAAGAACAAGUGCUAGUUGAAUAAGCUGGCACCUUGACGGUACCUAACCAGAAAGCCACGGCUAACUACGUGCCAGCCGCCGCAGUAA